ACAGAAGCAAAAAUAAAACAGAUAAGGAAAAUCGUAGAAGAGGAAAUCCAAGUAAUCACUUCACAUGAAACUCAGCCUCUACUGCACAGCAAUAUGACAGUCCUCCACUCUGUAAGAAUGACCACAACAAGAGUCAUAACAGGACUCACUGCUGUACUUCUGUGGCUGGCUUGGGAACCCAACCCUAUCUUCCCCCAAAGACCAUGCAAGAC